CUCUGUCAUCCCAUGCUGUGUGUUCUGUCUGCCUGUAGAAGGAGAUUACCGCUCCAGGUUUAUAAAACAAACACAUGGCAGAUGAAGAGGAGGCAUGCCUCUUAAUGACAUCUUGCUGAGAAGAAGGAAGAGCACCCGGCUCCUUGGCAUCCCUGGCAGGCUUCUGACAAUUCGUGCUGGCUACCCUCCCAACCUGCCUUUCCAACGGGAUGCCAGCUGGCCUGCUGCUGCCACCUCCGCUCAACCACAGCUACCAUCAUCACCAGGGAGGCUGGUUGAGUGAAUACAGGACGUAAAAGCGGAGCGAGAGAAGGUGGGAGCUGCCAGCUUGCAGCAUCCUCAACAGCUCACUGAGAUGUUAAAUCUGUUGUCGGCCUCAUCGUCGCUCUGCCUGAUUUGUAUGCAGACAGUGAGGGUAACUCAUUGCAGACUGUUUCCUUUACCCAUUCUCUCAUCUGGGGUCGCUCUAACAUGUCAGAGCACUUCCAACAAGACACCGUUUUGAGAACUACUUCCGAUAACGACGAAACAAUCCGAAUUCUUGUACAAGUAAAACACAUCGAGGUGUCAAGGCAGUCAUCUUCCAGCAGCGAGAACAAAGCUGCUUCUACUCAUUAACGAAGACCUGCCUCAGUAGGCUUUAAUCAGACAGAGAAGAGGAGUGAACUGAUGUAAUUAUCUAUUUAUUAACCAGCCCUCCUUGACUUUCCCCAUGUUCUUUCACACCUGCUUGUCCCAUUAGAAGUGUUCGGUCAGCAGCGCUGAGAGAAGCACAUUGAACCCGUAUCACGCAAUAAUUAGGCCCCCCUCCACAUAUCACAGUUCUGCUUGGCUCUGCUCUCAGGAGACAUACCCAUCAUGUUGGUGCAUAUACCCCAGACACCAAGCCUCCCGACCUCUCUGACAUUGACGAACUAGAGAAAACUACACUCCUAAGCAAGCAUCUGCACAAGCAUCUGCACAUGCAGUACAAUGUACAGAAUUUACAUGGGGGGGAUGCAUUGUAAGGCCAUCAUGUGCCGCUAUUCAUUUAUUUUCAUGACUUGUGCUCAGCUAUUCCCAUACUGAUUAAAGCGGA